UACGGGGGGGGCAAGCGUUGUUCGGAAUUACUGGGCGUAAAGGGCGCGUAGGCGGCCUGCUAAGUCGGACGUGAAAUCCCUCGGCUCAACCGGGGAACUGCGUCCGAUACUGGCGAGGCUUGAAUCCGGGAGAGGGAUGUGGAAUUCCAGGUGUAGCGGUGAAAUGCGUAGAUAUCAGGAAGAACACCCGUGGCGAAAGCGGCUCUCUGGAACGGUACUGACGCUGAGACGCGAAAGCGUGGGGAGCGAACAGG
rnacentral:rRNA from 1 species